rnacentral:rRNA from 2 species
AGAGUUUGAUCCUGGCUCAGGACGAACGCUGGCGGCGUGCUUAACACAUGCAAGUCGAGCGAUGAAGCUCCUUCGGGAGCGGAUUAGCGGCGGACGGGUGAGUAACACGUGGGUAACCUGCCUCAUAGAGGGGAAUAGCCUUUCGAAAGGAAGAUUAAUACCGCAUAAGAUUGUAGUGCCGCAUGGCAUAGCAAUUAAAGGAGUAAUCCGCUAUGAGAUGGACCCGCGUCGCAUUAGCUAGUUGGUGAGGUAACGGCUCACCAAGGCGACGAUGCGUAGCCGACCUGAGAGGGUGAUCGGCCACAUUGGGACUGAGACACGGCCCAGACUCCUACGGGAGGCAGCAGUGGGGAAUAUUGCACAAUGGGGGAAACCCUGAUGCAGCAACGCCGCGUGAGUGAUGACGGUCUUCGGAUUGUAAAGCUCUGUCUUCAGGGACGAUAAUGACGGUACCUGAGGAGGAAGCCACGGCUAACUACGUGCCAGCAGCCGCGGU